CCUGAAAUAGGAGUUUUCAAAACCGCAUGAUGAGGC
rnacentral:sRNA from 1 species